UACGUAGGUGGCAAGCGUUGUCCGGAUUUACUGGGCGUAAAGAGCGCGCAGGCGGUUCGGUAAGUCGGAUGUGAAAUCUCCACGCUCAACGUGGAGGGGCCAUUCGAUACUGCCGUGACUCGAGUCCGGUAGGGGAGUGUGGAAUUCCCGGUGUAGCGGUGAAAUGCGCAGAGAUCGGGAGGAACACCCGUAGCGAAGGCGGCACUCUGGGCCGGUACUGACGCUGAGGAGCGAAAGCGUGGGGAGCGAACAGG
rnacentral:rRNA from 1 species